rnacentral:rRNA from 1 species
AGAGUUUGAUCAUGGCUCAGAACGUACGCUGGCGGCACGCCUAACACAUGCAAGUCGAACGAAGUAGCAAUACUUAGUGGCAGACGGGUGAGUAACAUGUGGGUAUCUACCCUUUGGCCUGGAAUAACACGAGGAAACUUGUGCUAAUACCGGAUAAGUCUUUACGGAGAAAGCUUUAUGCACCAAUGGAUGAGCCCGCACUUGAUUAGUUUGUUGGUAGGGUAAUGGCCUACCAAGACUAUGAUCAAUAGCUGAUUUGAGAGGAUGAUCAGCCACAUUGGGACUGAGACACGGCCCAAACUCCUACGGGAGGCAGCAGUGGGGAAUCUUGCACAAUGGAGGAAACUCUGAUGCAGCGAUGCCGCGUGAGUGAAGAAGGCCCUUGGGU